UAAUACAGAGGGUGCAAGCGUUGUUCGGAAUUACUGGGCGUAAAGCGCGCGCAGGCGGGUUUGUAAGUCGGAAGUGAAAUCUCACUGCUCAACGGUGAGGCUGCUUCUGAUACUGCAAAUCUUGAGACCGGUAGAGGUUGGUAGAAUUGCAGGUGUAGCGGUGGAAUGCGUAGAGAUCUGCAAGAAUACCCGUGGCGAAGGCGGCCAACUGGGCCGGUUCUGACGCUGAGGCGCGAAAGCGUGGGGAGCAAACAGGAUUAGAUACCCUGGUAGUCCACGCCGUAAACGAUGGGCACUAGGUGCUGGGGGGAGCGACCCCUUCAGUGCCGUAGCUAACGCGAUAAGUGCCCCGCCUGGGGAGUACGGCCGCAAGGCUG
rnacentral:rRNA from 1 species